UAGAUUUGGACCGUUUGGUGAUAAGCAAACACAGCAAACUGUUGGCCAAACUGCAUGGUCAGUGGGGCAAAAUAAUGAUUCUCCCCUUUAUUGGCUUUUAUUGAAUAGGAUUUAGGAGGUGGUUACAGGCUGAGUAUCAGAAAAUUGACUGAAGACAACUCCCUUGAUUGUUGUUGACUCUCCUUUGAGGAGGAGGGAUGCUGUUCCUCAACCAAUUUUGCAGUCAGCCUCAGAGCCAACCUUAAAAGAAUUCCCACUGACAAAAAUUGACAAAAGGAGGAUGAUGGCUGUGGAUGCUUAAAAUACAAUGGAGGACACCUGGGUGGCUCACUCAGGUGACUUACAAAGCAAUUGGCAAAUGAUUGAGACCAUUCCAUGGGCCCUGUAUGCCUGAAGACACCACCUGUGUGGUCAGCUUCACUUCAGACUGCUCAGGCUUCACUAGAAUAAUAGAUGCAUACAUCCAACAUUUGAUUGUCGGUCAAAUUUUGUCACCAAAUGAUAAUAACCUUCAUGAUAUUUUGUAAUUACAGUCUCAUUGAAUGGCAUCUGAGGAUUCUGAAGAUCUUUGGGAAAAAAUCUCCAAUGGGAGAGGGUAACACUGAGAAUAAUAACGAAGGCCAAACAUCAACAGAUUUGUUUCUUCUGCUGGACCUCCAAUGGGAGGGUGAGAUUUACUAAUGGAUCUUGAAGAAAUAACUCCAUCACAAAGCUUAGUUCUGAAUUGCCAAGAGCACACUCAUUUUCCUGGAGGAUCAUCUCCUUUUGCAUACACUGAUUCAUUUUGACUGAGAGCAGAAGUCUGCAAGAAUCUGCACUAAGCCCAACAUUCGAGUCCUUCCCCAUUAAACAUGAAGGGGAAAUUGAGAAAGAGCACUGGACUAGGAUGCAGGAGGCAGGCAAACUGGCUUCUUGGUCUAUUGCUAACCACGUGUAUGUGAUGGCUAAGUCUGAGCAAGUCAUAAAGUCAGGGUUUCCAUUUCCUCCCUUACAGGGUGAGAGAGCUGGACUAAUUAUCUCUAAUCUUUUUUCCAGCUUUAAUACUCCCUGAGUCUAAAUGAUAUUGAUGAUCAAUGAAACAAUUUAUUUUCCUGAGGCUGUCAAUUAUUUAUUAUAUUUGGAUCACUAAGAAGGAAACAGGAAAAGGCA